UUCAUAUUAAAAACAUAAAAAGAAAUAACGGCCUCAUCUGAUUGGAAUAAAAAAUAUUACAUUAUACAGUUACAUUACAAUCCAACAAAAAUAAUUGACACCAAAUAAUUAUGUGUAUCGUUUAAGUGCUAUAUUGACCUAAUUUUGCAGUAAAUUGGCCCAUGGCUCUCUCCGUAUAUUCAGUCAAUCCUGUGGCUUCUACGUACAAAGACCUCCCCAAAAGUCAUUCAAAAAGAUCUUUUCUUUUUAUUUCCUUGAUAUUUCUGUGGUGAAAGAACAAAGGUCUUUGAUAGUUAAGACCCGCAUCUCAUAUGAAAAGACUUUCUUUUCCUUUAAAAAGAGAGGAGUUAAGGCGAUGGGAUCCCCCCUAUUUUCUCUUCUUCCUAGAGCUUAUGAGCUGUAUAGGAAGACACUUAAUUUCAAUUUGAAUGCAAAGAGUCUUAUUUAAAAUAAAAUAAAAAUCUGCAACGAUACCUUUGGAGUUUCGUUUUACUAAAACAAAGUUUAGUGGAGUUUAAUUAAAGUUAAAGCUAUCGGAGAACAAAUUUGAUCUCCAUUGGUCUCGAAUCGAUGAAUUUGACACUUCCCAAGAGUCUUGUUUGACUCAUUGAGUCAAUCGCAAUUAAUUGCUUCAAUUUUAAAUUUUCCUUUUGUCAAAUUUGGAUGAACGUAUGAAAAGAUUUAAGAGCUUAUGAAUUUUGGAACCAAACAAUUUACACCUUUGGAUCUUGCAGGAUUUUAUUUUGCCUCCUUGGCUGCCCCGCCAUGUGUUUAUUAAAUGUCGUCCUUAUCAAAUACAAAUUGGUUCAUUUAGUCCACAUCGUACCCAUCGAAAUCUGAACGUCUUGGUGGUGUUGGAGCAUUCGCAUCGAUCGUGCACUCCCCGGCAAUUUUGAGGAGGUCAGCUCGUCAAUCACCUGGAAUGACCAUGGCCAUGGGCAUGGGUUAGGGUUUUGGAGGCGUGUGAGCAAAGAGCAGUGACAACGAGGGGAAAAUCAAGGAUUUGGAGCAAAGGAAGAAACGUGUGAAAAGGUCAAGGAACGAUGGGGAAGAAGUUGUCGUGGGGGUUUAAACGAAGUUUACGUAGAAGAGAAACUAAAUAAAAGGAAAGAUAAAAUUCUAAACCUGGCCAUGUUGAAUACUCUCGUCUCUUCAUCCAAGAAAAGAGAGACCCAUCAUAUGCUUUCUUCUCCCGAAAAGGAGUAAGAUCAGAUGUGAAAUGCUAAAAUCAAGGUGGACGAAUGUGAGUCUUAAGCGCGAAGCGAAAAAGGAUAAAAAGCAAAGCAAUAAUUUGUAUUCCAUCCCACUUUUCCUUUGAAGUUUGAAGUGUAGCUAGUUUCUUUUGCAAGAAAGACCACGAAGUGAAUUAUCUCACUUAUUCACUUCUCAGACCCUAAAAGUUGCUAAGUUCAGUUUUCUUUCAAAAGCUUAAACUUUGACUCUAGAAUUGCAAAGUUGAGAUUUUUAAGUUCGUCACUGUCUGAGCAAGACGCCAAUUCAUCUCAUAACAUACUUUGAUGGGACAUAUUUUUGGUUACCAUAUAAGUUUGGGAUUUUGAUGAUAAACGUACACUUUGGAUAAUUGGUAAUAUGGUAAAUAUAAAGGUCAUGAUUUUUUAUGGAAUCGCACACUCAAUGUUGUCGAAUUUGCUGCCCACCCAUUGCCAUCACUAGCCCUCAACUUCAUGCAUCGAAUAGCUUAUAUACUACUUUUAGCCCAUGGUAAACAUUUUUAUGGAUCGAAUAGCUUUACGUGAUUCAAACAUUGGAAAUUACAGAAACCAAUUUCCCAAAUAUGAUUUUUUUUUAAUCAAACUUUAGAAGGAAGAUCAUGAGGGGCAAUUCCAUUUUUUUUUUUCAUUUUUUGAGAAAAGUACUACCCUCCGGAACAAAAUUGUAUGAGUGUCUACACGACAACGUUGUUGAUGAAUCCAAACCAAAAAAAGAAGACAUUGAUAAAUGUCAGAUUUGUUUGCCAACAAACCAUAUAAUUGAUGCCAAUAAAGAGAUCCAAAGUGAACAAUCAUAUCCCUUCAUAUAAUUGAUGCCAAACUCAUUGAUUUUCCAAGACUUGGACAUAGUAUUGAUGAAAAGAAUCUUUAAUACCGCCGCCCUAAAAAUAGAAGCACUCCCAACAAGUAAACCGAGUGAUUGAAUCCCAUUAUCUGACGAAAUCAACUCAAUGAUGUAAGUUUAACAAUUACUCUCAUGAUGCAGAAAAGGAAUCGGAUCUAGUCGUGCAAAGAGGUAGCAGCACGACCACAACAUCAGUAAUAAUUAGGGUACUGAUACAUCAAUGAGGUCUACCCUUACCGGGUCUUUACUAAACUUUUUUUUUCCUUUUUACAGAUAAAGUAUGAAUUAGAUAGUAAAUCUCUCAAUAAUAAAUAGAUAAUAGGAAAUACGAUUCUCCAAUUUCUUUUUGAAUUCACAUAUGGCAUUUUUGUGUUAUUUUUUUUCAGUUACUAAUUCAAUUCUACUACCUUUUUAUAUUAUCGCAGAAGUUUUAUCACAUAAUUUGUUUUACCGUUGUAUCAUUUACAUGAAGAUUCAAAAUACGAUCUAACUAAAUGGAAUAAAUCAAAUCUCACUAAAUCCAAAUGUUAAACAGAAAAUGGAAUAGCCAGAUUAGAAUCUGACUUGACAUUCUAGAAAAACAGGAAUUCUUUCUAAUUAUUUUUUAACUACUAACUAAAACGUGUAAUGUAUUUCUAGCUGAUAUCUCCUUCUGUUUUCCUUUCUUGCCGACUAGCUCUAUACGUAAGGACCGGGUCGUGAUGGUCUGAAUGCUUCGCCGGGGAGUCUCGACUAAAAGCAGCCUCCCUUCGGCCGGGAUUCUCUUGCUUUUUAACCUUUUGCUUUUCACGCUAAAUCUUUGCUGAAGAUAUGGUCAUUCAUCAUGAGGGUGUGCUGCAAUUUCUCCGCUGCCGUGUCCUUCUUGACCACGUUCUUCUCCUCAUCAGAGCAAUCCACCGAAGCCCACCGAGAAUUCCACUUGCGCUAUUCUUUUAUUUUUUGUCUUUUUUUAAACUUUAUCUGCUUUCGGUUACUCAUGGCCCGGCCAUGUCCCCUCGUCCUUAUCUUGGUGUUCAGUUAGUCAACACGUUUCCACCGUAUCGUGUCCCACCAGAUUUUGCUCUCCAUUUUUGCAGAAUUUCAGCUCUCCCUUCCUGUUCCUUCGUGUGUUUUCACACUGCUAUUUCCCUUCCUUCGCACUCGCAUGAAUGCCGUAUCGAAAGUGGCCUCAAGUCAACCAUUUCGGUUCACAAAAAUUCGCAAUUUUAUUGGAAAGGGUCUGUAAUUUUAAAUGCGAAAGAAUGCAAUAGAGAUCAAGAAUGCAUGAUUACAAAUGUUUUUUUUUUAGUAAGGGGUCAAAUUAUCAAUGAUUUUUUUUUUUUUUGGUAACCAAGGAUCCGCCGGGCCUGCCAAGCAGCCCAUGGCCUGUAGAGUGCGUGAUGCACCUAGGACCAAGUGUCAAUACUUCAUGGACUGGCUUAGUAAUCCACUCUUGAGACCCCCACUUAAGUCAUGUUAGCAACGGGAGGGCUCGAAUUCUCGACCUCGGCAAUGGAUGAGAGAAUGCACAUCAACUGAGCUAUCCAUGUGUGGGUAAUUAUCAAUGAAUUUGAUUGCUGAAUUUCAUGAGAAUGCAGAUAGGACCUUUAGGCGAAAAUCUGUGUCAACAAUAAUUUUCCUCAAGUUAAUUAAUGGAGACCGAAACAUCACUGGAUUAGAAGGGCAAAGUCAAAGUCUACAAAGACUUGGACUACCAACCGUCCAUGGUGACCCAACUUUGCUCUGAGAAGGAUUCACAUCCAUGAAUGAGCCAAGUCUCUGAAGACUUGGACGACCAAAGGCACACGCUAAGGCAUUGGCGGGUCUUCUUUUCCACAUUAGGAAUUUUUUUUUUUUGACAAAUUCCACAUUAGGAUUAACCCAUCUUCUUUUUCUUUGCUUUUAUUGCUUUAUUUCUUUUCAUUAUCACUCUGCUUUUUUGACGAGAUUUUCCUUGGAUUCUCGCCGUGAAUGAUGGUUGUGGUACCGGUGGGUCAAUUACCUUGAUAGUUGAUUGAUAGGCGGCCACCAUUUGAUCAAUAAUUCUUUUUCUUUUCUUUUUUUCGCACAACAGCACUACUCUUUGAGGAUACAUAUGAGUUGGGGCUUCUAUAAGAGGGCAAGAGCCUCAACCCUGAACGCAGAAGGCGCCGCUUACUGCUCGCACCACUCCGUCCACCAACCUCCCGGCGGAAUCACGACGGACGCAAGUGAUCGAGCCUCCAGUAGGUCCAGGUUCGUAGGCACCGUCUAUGUUUAUCUUUAGUGUUCCAGCCUACGGUGGGUUCCAAAAUCGUGACGAUCCGUCGCUGGUCUUACUAGAUUCGCUCGAUUUUGGGUUCCAUCUGUUGAAACUCUUCAACUAAAGCAAACUCCACAAGGUUGCUUGGUUUUGGUUUUCUAUUCUUGAAGAUGGCCUGGUUUCUUGACUUCCAAAUAUUCCACAGUACUUUAGUAAUCGUCUGAUUCGAGACUUGGCUUCUUGCAUCCUGAUCUUGAGCUCUCUAGCUCUCAUCUCUGCUAUUCUUCCAUUCACCAGUGUAAAAUAUUCGUAAAUUACCAAGAUUAUCUAAAUUUUACCGACAUUCCAAUGAAGUAGUAAAUUAACUCACUUGAAAAUUUUCAUCAUUGUUGUAAGUAAAGUACCGACAUCUUUAGAAAUUUACCAACAUGCCAAUAAAGUAGUAAAUUACUGACUCCUACAAAAUUUUACGAGUGUGGUAAGUAUAUUACCGACACAGUCUAAGAAUUUACAAACACUACAUGGAAGUAUUAAAUUACCCACUCUCAAAUUUUACCAGUGUUAAUAAAUUACUAGCAAUAUCAAGAAUUCACUGACAUAAGAGUCAAGUGGUUAACUACCAACUCUUAUUACCAAAAUCAUAAAUAAAUUACUGGCACAUACAAGAAUUUAACAACAUUUUAAUGAAUUAAUAUAUUACCAACUCCUCUGAAAUUUACUUACCAGCACUAUAAAAAAAAUAUACCAAUAUAUUAAUGAAGGAGUUAACCCACUCCAAAGAAAUUUUAUCCAUGUGGUCAGUAGAUUGCCAACUCUUAUCAUCCAUUGAUUCUACACUUUAUCUUAAGAUGAAAUUGAAAGCAACAGGAUCCUUGAAUCACUUGAGGUGAUCAAAUCAUAAAGGUGGAGUCAUGGAGGCUAGAUUUAAACUACUUAAACUCAUACCCUUGUUCAAAUCCGAUUCAAACGUCGAGCUAUACUUGAAGUAGUGGCUACAAUAUUGGCUUAAUUUUUAUUUUAACACAUCAAAUGAAUAGCAGUGUAUCGGUAUUUUACCUUCAACUCGGAAUUCCUAUAGACUAACGGUCUCACCAUGUCCUUGGCAGAAAAAAUUUUGACACUCUUAGUAUAUUGGAAAGUGGAGGGGCACAUCUCUAGAACCAAUACAAAACAAAACUAACUUUCGAGCUUAGAUAUGGGUGGACUCUUUUCCUUUUGUUCUUUCUCAUAAUCGUAGUCUAUGAAGUUGGAGCCCAAUGCUAAUACAAGAAUCAUUCAAUGUGGAUAUCUUUAUUUUUUAGAUUCCUGACAAUGUGGCAUGUGCCUAUCCUAAUUUUAUAGAGUAAUUAUAGGGGAAGCUAAUACUCUAUGUCCAUUCUUCCCUAAAUAGAGCAAACUCUCAACCACCAUAAUUAGAUUAUUAAACAAACAAAUUAUAUCGGAAGUAUCAAUGAAGUUGCUGUUGAACCUUAUAUAAUGCAUUGGAUGUUGAAUAACAGAGAACCAUAUUAUUAUUUGGUUGUACAUUAUAUAAGUUCCAAACCUUAUAUUUUGUUAACUUUGUCAAUUGGUUGUACAUUAUAUAAGUUCCAAACCUUAUAUUUUGUUAACUUUGUCAAUGUCCGAUCAUGUUGCAAUAUCAUUUCGAAAUAGUACCACUAUGUCGUCUCGUGUGGCAUAUUUAGUCAUCUCGGAGCUUCUAAUUGGUGUCUCACAGUCAAGUAUAUUAACAAGUACAACGCUCCAUCAAUACAAAUAAUUAUCAAUAUCACUAGUAAACAAAUGCACACAAUCAUCCGGCACACAUAUAGUAGCAUAAAAUAUGUUUGUAUGUUACUCACAAAUAGAUGCAGAAACGAUGUUAAUAAUCUACUAAAAAUUUAGGGAAAUGAUUUUUUUUUUUUGAGGAAGUUACAAAUAUUAACUGGUGUCACUAGUAAAACAUAUGUAAGGAACUCGUAAUCAACUAGAGGAAAAACACAAAAAUGACUAUUCUUAAUAUUUCAAGCAAGUAAAUCAAUUGUUUCGUUUGCAUGUUACUAACAAUAAAAUUGCAACUCAUAAAAUUGAAACAAGGUUAAUAAUAUAGUAAGGAUUUAUACUUGUAAAAUAGUUAUUUUUUUGUAAUUUACUACCGUCCACCAAGACUACUAACAAAGUAUGCAAGCAACUCAUAGUUUACUACCAAAAAUCCUCGCCCACUUAUAAAAGCAAACAAUUGCUCGUAAGGUACAGGAGUAUUUUCCAUAUGGUAAAUCGAUUAUUCCGUUUACGUAGUAUUUACAGAUGAACACUGCUACUCAUAAAUUCGAAACAGUGUUAACACUAUAGUUGGAUUUAGAGGGGUAAAAUACUAUUUUGUUUGUAAGUUGGAACAUCAAUCGGGACUAUUAAUAAAAUAUAUAAGCAUUUAUAAUCAACGAGUGAAAAUUGCUAACCCAUUUGCAAAAUCUAAAAGAAAAAAAAUGGUAAUCUACUAUUUGGUUUGAGGAUGAAAAAACUUCUUCUUCUUUUUUAAUAACUUUCUAACAAUAGAUCAGACUCACAAGUUAUCAGUUAAUUUUUACUUACAAGUGGUACUUCAAGUUUAUAAUUUGUUCUUUAAAUCUAGCAUGCAUGAAUCAAAACUUCAUUUUUGGUUUACGGAAUUUUAGAACGUGUAAGAUUUCAACUACAACUAUCUCAUCUCAUGAAUAGCUUUGGUUAAUUUUUUGAUCCAUUUUAGAGAGAGCAGCGGUCAUAUUUGCCAAAGUGACAUUAAGAAGAAACAAUUGAUGUUGUAGAAAUUUGAGCAGUGUGGAACUCUUCUUUUUAAAAAGAAUGCUCCGCGUUGUGUUAUGUCAAAUGAGGACAUGUUAAUGUUCUCCCUUUGAGAUUUAAAACUCAUGGGGAAUAAUUAUGUUCUCAAGAUUUGAGAAGAGUGAACCGUUUUUUUCUUUAAAAAAAAAAAAUGAAAACUCAGCACUCUUCUAUGUUAAUGUUCUCCUUAGGAGAUUAAAUUCCCUUAAGAUGUUAAAACUCCCCUUGAGAUUUAAUACUCCUAUGUUCACGUGCAUUGUCGACUUAGGCAAGCUGGAGUGAUGUUGCAAUAGCUAAUCCAGGCUACUAAGUUUAGUGACCUACAUAGAUUUCCAUUUGUGAGUCGGGCUUCUAUACAUUUUCCAUCUCUAGCUCCCACUACUUUUGCUGAUAUAAUGUUUGGUAUUUCUUGAAGAUCAAAUUGAGUGAAAUCAAUGGAGGGGAGUGUAGAAACACAACAUACCUGGCAAAAUGAUGGAAUAGCAGGGAGCGCUUCUUUUACUCACACUACAACAGAAGGCCAGGGAAUGGUCAAUUCAUCAAGACACGAAUACGAAGUAUUCUUGAGUUUUAGAGGAAAAGAUACUCGAAUAAGUUUUACCAGCUUCCUUCAUACUAGUAUGAUGAAUGCAGGAAUCCGCGUCUAUAAGGAUGAUAGAGAAGUCCCCAAGGGGAAAAAAUUUGGCCCGGAACUUCUCCAAGCAAUUAAUCAAUCGAAGAUCUCAAUACCUAUAUUUUCAAAAGGUUAUGCCUUUAGCGUAUGGUGUCUCAAUGAGCUAGUCCAGAUGGUCGAGUGCCAAAAAACUAGGGGACAAAUGAUUAUGCCAAUUUUUUAUGAUGUGGCACCUUCAGAGGUUCGACACCAAACCGGGGGUUAUGGAAAGGCCUUUCUUUCACAUGAACAGAAAAAACGAUAUGAUGAAGAGACUAUGCGUCAGUGGAAGGCUGCUCUCAGUGCAGUUGGGGCAAUACAUGGGUGGGACUUGCACAACAUGCCCAACAGGUGACUACCUCUAUCAUUCCAUUUGAUGUGCCUAGUACCAUUAAAACUUUUAAUGUGGUUCAAAAUUGGUUUCUUUUCUAGAUUUGUGUGAUCCUCGUUGAAAUUUAAUUUUAUGCUAUUGAAAUUAUACUACAAAAAUCACAUAAAAUAAUGGUACAAUCCCAAUUUUUUCCCUUUUCAUUCCAAACAAUUUUUUUUUUUCAAUUUAGGUCAUUCAUUAAUCAUAUGUGCCAAUGCUAAUUCAUCUACAAUGGAGUAAAUCCUUACAAAAUGCAUUUCGAAUAGGUCUCUAGUUUUUACUUUGUUCUUGUCAGAAUAUAGUUUGGUUCAACACAAUUUUCUAACUCAUUGCCAUUUGACCUCCAACAAACACUAGGGAAGAAGGUGAGAUCACAAAUACAGUAACCCAAAAGGUUUUCAAUGAGUUGAAGAAGGCUUAUCUGGUGGUAUCAGAUUACUUGGUCAAUGUCGACAACCAUGUGGGUGCAAUCAUGGAAAUGAUAGGUGCUCAAACAAGUGAAACACGCAUCAUAGGAAUCUAUGGGAUGGGUGGUAUUGGAAAGACGACUAUUGCCAAAAUCAUCUACAAUCAACUUUCACAUGGAUUUGAGAAUUGUUGCUUUCUUCCCGAUAUCCAAGAAAUGUCAAAAGGUAACCGCAUUCCAUCCUUGCAGAAUCAGCUCAUCAACGACAUCCUAAAAAAAAAAUGGACAGACAUAAAAAACAUUGACGAUGGGAUUCAGGCAAUUAAAAAUAGGUUGUCUAAUAAGAGAGUUCUCCUUCUUCUUGAUGAUGUGGAAAAAGUUGAUCAUAUGCGUGCACUUGUAGGUAAGGGGAGUAAACUCAUAAUUACUACGAGAAACCAAGAUGUUCUCAUUGUUCCUGAAGACUCCACUUAUGAGGUUAAUGGUAUGGAUGAUUAUCAAUCUCUUCAACUUUUUAGCAAACAGGCCUUCAGAAGAGAUUCUCCUAUAGACGAAUAUAUCGACCUAUCCAAGAGGGCAGUACACAUUGCUGGAGGUCUUCCAUUAGCCCUUGAGGUCAUAGGUUCACUUUUAUCCGGCAAAAAUAAGGAAUGUGGGAUGCCACAUUGAAGAAGCUAGAAAGUGUUCCUCAUGAUAAAGUUCAGAGUAAGCUGAAAAUAAGUUAUGAUGCAUUAAAUAAUCGGCAGCGGCAUAUAUUCCUUGAUAUUGCUUGUCUAUUCAUUGGAUGUCUCAAAGACAUUGUGUUUUAUUUCUGGGAUGCAUCUAAACUUUUUCCGGAAGUAGACGUUGAAGUUUUGCAGAACAUGUCUUUAAUAAAGAUUGGAGAAGAUAAUAUAUUGUGGAUGCAUGAUCAACUCAGAGACCUUGGAAGAGAAAUAGUUCGUGAAGAAAGUGAGAUGAAUAUAGAGGAGCAACGUUGCGUGUGGAAUCCGGAGGAUGGAUUAAAUCUGCUAAGGAUACAUGAGGUAAAAUGCUUUGUGCAAUAGAUCUCCAAAUUAUUUAUAGACAUUUUCUUUUCCAAAAAAAGUAGUUACUUUUUGUGUUCUGUAGCACCAUCGCGACCUACUCAACCGAUAGUUUUGGUCUUUUAAGAUUUUAAAGGAAUGAUAAUAGUCAACUCCAACCCUUAAAAUAGUGAACUUGAAGAAAUGUGUUUCCUUUCAACUUUUUUGUUUAAAAUUUUUUCCUUUGGGCAGGAAAAGAAAAAAGUUGAAGCUCUUCGUCUCAAGUUUGAUGAUCAGCACCGUUUUACCUAUGACGACUUUAAGAGCCUGCCAUAUCUAACGUUCCUUGAAGUAGACGACUUGAAGGAAAAUUUUCGUGGAGAAAAGAUGCUUCGUUGGCUCAAAUGGCCAUCAUAUGCUCUUCCAACUAAUAUUUUCCAGAGGAAUUCAAAUCUCCUUCCACGAUUACGAUGGCUUUCUUGGCAUAAUAUUAGCCCAACAUUUAAGAUUGCAAAUUUCUCCGUAGAGAAUUUGAUUAUCCUUGAUCUAUCUCAGAGUGAAAUCACUCGUGAUUGGAAGGGGUGGAGCCACAUGAAGGUAUGUUAUAUGCUAGAGAACAUUUAUUCUUCCGUUUUAUUAGAUUCAAAAGUGAACUUUGCAUGAUUUUUCUUUCACAGGUGAUUAAGAAUUUGAAAGUUCUAAAUCUGGCCAAUUGUCGAUGCUUGAAGAGAACCCCUAACUUCUCAACUCAUUCAAAUUUAGAACGUUUGAUCCUAUCAAAGUGUUACUCAUUAAUCGAAAUUGAUAGAUCGAUUUGUCAGUUGAAACGCUUGGUUUUCUUAGAUGUAAGCGGUUGUUGGGGUCUUCAGAGGCUGCCAAAUGAGCUGGGGGAUCUUGCAAGCCUCAAAUACCUAUCUCUAAGUGGUUGCAGGGGAUUGAAGAGGCUUCCAAAUGAGCUGGGAGAUCUUGCAAGCCUCAAAUACCUAUCUCUAAGUUGUUGCAGGGGAUUGAAGAGGCUUCUGGAGACAAUCAGGAAUUUGGAAUCGCUGAUUGAGUUGAACAUGAGUGGCCUGACAAUCAAAGAACUACCCGAUUCCAUCAAAAAGUUGAAGAAUUUGAAAAUAGUGAAUAUGAAAAAUGUUUACAUAAGCAAAAUACAUGAUACCUUUUGGACAAUAGAGAAGCUUGAAAUAAUAGAACUCAGCUACAUUAAUUAUGAUGACAAGCACGUGGCAAUUGGUGAUUGCAUAUAUGAGAAUAAAUCCUUGAGGAUCUUGAGAUUGUCAAUGGCGGAGAGAAUACACGCCCCACCAAGGCUCCCUGAAAGUCUUUUGGAAUUAGAACUGAAGUGGUUGAGGGAGGGCCCAUUUCCGGAUCUCUCAAAUCUCGCUAACUUAAAGGUAUUGGAUCUGACCUUUGGCCCACCUAAUUCUGAUGGGAAAUAUUAUGGGCUUCUGGAAGAACCGAUACCACCGUGGAUUGGGAACUUAACCAAAUUGGAAUCUCUGAAAAUCUGCUUUCCCUGGAUGUUCGCCUCAUCGAGAAACCUCAGCCUCCCUCCUCAUCCGCGUCGCCUCCCGAGGCUUCCCUCAAAUUUAUCCUCCUUAACUUUCGAUGGUUGCCUGUCACUUUGCUCGAUGGAUCUAUCGAAUUUGAGGAAACUAUCGUCUCUCGACAUUUCGAGGUCUGCAGUUGCAGAGAUUGAAGGCCUUGGUUGUUUGGAGAACCUACGAGAUUUCAGCCUUUGGUCCGUCGUACAGCUGGUGAUGCUACCUGAUCUAAGCAAGUUAAACAAGCUAAGGCUUAUUGCAGUACAGGCGUGCGAUAAUCUGGUUGAGAUUCAAGGCGAAGUACCGCGGUUUUUGGAUCAUCUUAAAAUUGAUUACUGCCGUUCGUUACGGGAGUUCCCCGAUCUGUUCAGCUUAAUGGGUAAGAAAGAUGUUUGUAUGCAUAUUCUCGAUCAGGUGUUUUAUUAUACAGAUGGACAUCGAUUGCUGGUUUGUGGCUUUAAACAGAUGCAGAUCCCUGAUCUAAGCAAUUGUAACGGACUAACAAUUCUUACAGUAGAAUCUUGUCAUAAUCUGGUUGAGAUUCAAGGCGAACUACCCCAAUCUUUGGAAGAAUUGUACAUUAAAUCUUGUGAAUCUUUACAGAAGUUACCUGAUCUGUCAAGCUUGACGGGACUGAGAAAGGUUACAAUAAGACGUUGUGGGAAAUUAGCGGUGGAGGAAAUUUCUCGGCUUUGCUCGGAGAAGUCAAUCGAAUUUGUGGGAGAAGACGAUGAAGAAGACGAAUCUGUGGAAGAAGACGAUGAAGAAGACGAAUCUGAUGAAGAAGACGAUGAAGAAGAUGAAUGAGUGCACGUUGCACUUGGAAGCUUUUUGAUGCGCGACCGCAAAUUGUUCCCUUGUGUUCAAACCUUAAACAAAUUGAGGUAAGUACCAAUGUUUUCCUGUUUUUGGCAAUCAAAUUCUUUCACAUAUAUGAACAGAGAAGUUUUGCAUGCACUUUUUAACGACCUUUUAGCGGAUUCUUGUCUGAAAAUCUGAUGAAGGUAUUUAAAUUAUGAUGCCUCCGAACAGCCAGAGGGCUCUUAAUUAUGUACAAGUUUUUGUGUUCUUUUCCUAGUUUGGUUUGGCUUUUUUAGCUACAUUUUCUUAGGAUGGUUUCUCCUAGAGGUAUGCAUGUCGAUUGCAUCAUUUUUAUUUGAUACGUAACAAAUUAUUAGAGAUCGUUGUUGAUUUGCUGCUUCACACAUAUUUUGAAAUUGAUAACCUCACUUCACAUGGGAGAUAAAUUCACUAUGCUGUAAACAAAUAGAUGGAAUGUGUGUUGGAAGGUUAUACAACUAUGGUUCUCAUCCUGGGACUUUACAGCACAAUCAACUCAUUGUUGCGACUUUGAAGUAGACAGAUACUCUGUAUUGCCAUGCUUAAGUUCAGUUUAUUUUCAGGAAAUGUGUGCUUCUUAGUGGGAUUUGCAAAUGUUAUGGAGAAGUCAUAAAUGAGGGAGCCACUGCAAUUCUGAGACUACCAGUGUGGCAGCACUGGCUAAAGCAAUAGCACCAGAAUAUUUUAUCUCAGCAAUGAUGCCUUCGAUCAUAGCAAUCUUUGACGGGCACACUGACAAAAAUCAUUCUGUGCAGCAAACGUCGCCUAUAGGCGUAACUGAGAGAAUACAGCAUUCGCUGUACCAGUAGAGAAGGAGCGCCCUUUUGCUGAGACUUGAGAAUUGCACUCACUUACAAAAGAUUGGUAAGAAAAAGAGAGCACCUUCCCUUGGGGCUGCCUUCAGUUAAAAAUUGUUCCCCGGAAUAAAAACAUUUUUUUUUUAUUUCUGUCCCUGGAAUAAUUUUUGAAUAGAAACGUUACCAAACGCGCCAUAAAACUCCUACGAUCAUCAUUGAGACUAGGGCAAAGAAUCUGUACAUGAAUAAAGCAUGAGAGCAUUGAAUCCCCAAAAGUAUAUUUAUUAAACUCCCAAAUCUAUAUCGAGAGAUUUUUUGAGGAACGGAGAAAGGCCCUCAUCCCAGUUGAUCAUUAAAAUUAAUACCAUAAAGAAAAGGAUAAAUAAAUUCCUUGCCAAGAGGGCAUUUGGGUAUUUUGACAGCACCAAAAAGACAAAACGCAAUUGAUAGGGGAGAAAGGAGAGGAGGAGAGGGAAAAGGACAAGGGGCCAUGAUUAUGGCGGAUGGAACGUAGGCCUAUCAACUAUUGGUGGUUACAUGACUCACAUGGCAAAUGGAACGUAGACCUGUCAACUGUCGGUGGUCACAUGACUCACAUGAGGGGACUAAUGAUAUCGAGUGCAGUGGAGCGGGAGCCAAUUGAUAGGAAGAAGAUGCUAAAUCAAUCCGGGGUCAUGCGUACCAAUGGAUGAGAUGGAACGUAUGGAGAAUUCACAUGAUCCAUCUGUGCAUGAGUCGAGUUCACAUGCCCUGGUGCUCAAGCGGGCAAGACCUGCUCGAAGAAUAGGGAGGAAGUGAAGAGAGGUGUAAUCCAGUCCAUAUGCCGGAUUUGGUAGGGCAACCCCGAAAUCAUGGAUUUUUAGCCCAUGCGUCCCCAUUGAAAUUGCCAUAUUUUCCCAACUUCCUUUGUAUUUUUGAGGUUUGGAGAGCACGAAAAACAGACGGGGCGUUUUCUUCAAAAUAGACUUGAUACUUUUUCCCCGAUUGGGACACACCCCUGUCCUGAAAGCGACACUACAACUAUGUUCAAGCAAAGCCACGAGUGGGUCCCCGUGCCCUGUCAUUCUUGUUAAUUUGUGGGCAAGGGCGGGGGCAUUUAUGGCGACACGGUGCUCUCGGAUGAUUCAAUGGAAGAAGGAAGACGCAUUGGACACCGUGCGGUUCUAUUUCAGGGUGAAAGCAAACUCUACUAAGACAAUAUCAUUAGAAUACGAACUGCCCCCGGCUCUCAGCAUAGUCAACAAAUCCUGUGUACUACUUUUAAUGACCCAUGGAGAUCUCCAUUUGUAAUUUUGGCUUCUAAAAGUGACUUAUAUUUCACAAUGUGCUGCAUUGAUUUUGCUGUUAUACAGUUAGACUUUUUUUCUCAGAGAGAAGAUCAAGAGAGAUCAAUGAAGAGGAGGCAAUGCUUUAUUUAUUCAGCAUAGAAUUGAUCGUUAUCCAGAUCGUGAAAAGCUUAUGAUAUUGUAAGGGCCAACUCUUUACAAGUGACUUUGGUUGGCUAAAGAAUGGUUGAAAGAAGUUGACUUUGGCUGUUUUGGUUUCUAUCGAGUCAAUAUCGUGAAACUUUAGUUGCGAAGUGGCUCCUUUCUCUCAUGAAACACAAAAUGUUUAGUAGCCUCGGAAUUGAUUUAGAAACUUGAAAAAUACUCGCAAAACAAAUACCAUAUGUUCAAAAGAACUUUUAUCUUUAAAUAAUCUAGCCAAUCGUAUUAUCAAUCAAUAGAAAAGUUGAUAACAUCUAAUUUAAUUGAAUGGAAAGAACAAAAGUGCCGUAUACAUAUAAUUUUGCCUUGCGUCAAAAUACUAUCAUUAGAUUUAAAAUCGCAUUAGCUACAACUCUCAGAAAGAGAAAAAAAGAAGAUAGAACAGCGUAUGGAGUGGUGCAAGAAGACGGAAGUGUCACGGGAUUAGAAGGGCAAAGUCAAAGUCAACGAAGACUUGGACUACCAAGAGUCCAUGAUGAACCAGCUUGCUCUGGAAGGAAUCACACCAAUGAUCCAUUUACUUGGCACUCUGUGCCUCCCAAUCAGACUUCCAUAAAUUUAGAGAUUUUAUUAUAAAAAUAUUUCACUAAGAUCAUUCUGUAAAAUCCUACACUUAUUCAUUAUUCUCUCAUUCAACCCCCAAUAAUCAUAUGACAACAAAUCGAUGUCCAAUUCUCAUAUCCAUUGAUAAUUCCAUCUUACUAUUUCUUUCAAUCGAAUAACAUCAUGUGAAAACAAACUCUUAGGUUGUGUUUAUCUCACUGAGAAUUUUUUUUUGUUGCGGGAAAAUGUUUUAGGAAAUUCAAUCUCAGAAAAAGUAAACACAAAAUUUUGAUUGUGCUGAAAACAAGUUGAAGAAAUUUAUUUUAUCAUAAUUGGUAAUCAGUGAAUUCAUUAAGGGUGGCUUGUAUAGUUAAAAGUAACAUGUGAUGACUAAUAAACUGGAUAUGAUAUCAUCACCGUUUAUUCUAUAAUCCACGAAAAUAACAACGAUUACAAAGAAAUUAGGACAAAAAUCAAGGAAAACAAAUCUUCUUGCUAAGUCAUUUUUCUCUAAGCUUAUUUAUUACUUUUUAGCCCAUGGUAAACGUUUUUAUGGAUCGAGUAGCUUUACAUGAUUCAAACACUGGAAAGUAAGGAAAGAAAUAUUCCAAAAGUGAUUUUUCAUCAAACAAAGAAGGAAGAUCGUGAGGGGCAAUUCCAGUUUUUUUUUUUUUUUUUUGGGGAAAAGUAUUACCCUUCGGCCCAAAAUUGUACGAGUGUUUGCACGCUAACAUUGUUGAUGAAUCCAUACCCAAAAAAGACAUUGAUAGAUGUUAAAUUGGUAUGACGAUAGACCAUAUAAUUGAUGCCAAUAAAGAGAUCCAAAGUGAACAAUCAUAUCCCUUCAUAUUCUUUCUUGUCUCGAAAAGGAGAAGAACAUAAGUGAAAUGCUAAAAAGAAGGUGGACGAAUGUAAGGUCUCAAGCGCAUAGAGAAAGAGGAAAAGGCAAAGCAAGAAUAUAUUCCAUUACACUUUUGUUAAAGUUAGCAUUAUGUUCAUUUCAUGAAAAAUGAAUGAUAAUCAUCGUUUAUAUUUCUUGAAAUAAUUAAUUAAUGAAUUUUUUUUACUAUCAAUAAUAAUUUAUGUCUAUAUAUUUUCAUAGAUAAUGAAAAUAUCUUUAAUUUAUUCAUUUUUAUGAAUGAUAUAAAAUGUUUUCCAAAUCGUUCAUUUUUUAUGAAAUAAAUGGAGAAUAAGUUGAAGCUCGUUUAUUUUGCAUAUUAGUUUCAAAUUAAGGUCGGAGCUCUUUCAGCUAAAAUAGAGAGGAAUCCGUCCCAUUUAUUAUUCAAAAAAACCGCAUCUCCAAAUUAUACCACUUCUUGGACCCUAAAAAUUGUGAGAGACAACUUGUUAUCAAGGAGGUAUAAUUUUUUAAAAACUUAUAACUUUGACAAGUGGUCUAAAGUCACUUUAGACCAUACUAAAAUCGCAUCAUAUCCACAUUGGCUCCAUUUGCCUAUCAAUGUCCAAGCAAGUGGUCACAUUGGAUUUUUAACGGCCGUCUUGAAUGGAACUGUGACGCAUAAUAUUUGCAAGUCACUGAUACAAGUUUAUAUAUAGUAUUAGUAACAAGUAAAAGAAUUGGGUUUCGUUGUCACACCAGGCAAGGUUUAGGCUUUUUGGUGGAAUUCUCCUGAGUCAUGUCUGCUUCAUUUGUCUACUGUUGUCCAGGCAAACAGGCACAUUAAAUCUUUAAUGACCAUCUUGGAUGGAGAGUACUUUUGGAUUUUUGAUACAAGUUUCGAUUUUUUAUGAUAUCAAAAAAAGUUAGAAUAAUUAGUGUCAUAGUUAAUAUAGUUUAGGAUUUUUACGUGUCGCCCACCCAUUGCCAUCACAAGCCCUCACCUUCAUGUGUGAAUCCACCGGCGACCUCAACUCCUCACCAAUUUGACUUGUUUGCUAUCCUUUGGUCUCUUUUUUUCUCCCCAUGGAACUCAACCUAUGUGUAGAAGUCGCGACAGACGGAGGUUGCUGGCCUCGCACGGCUGUGGUUGCAUGUGGCCACGGUAUCGGGGCUCGACUCAAUUAAUUUGCUCGAUUUUUUAAAUUUUAGAACUUUGUAAGAUUUCAAACUACAACCAUCCCAUCAAAUGAAUUGGGUUGGAUAAUGUUUUGAUCUGAUCUAGAGAGACUAAUUGUCCAUAUUUCUAGAAGUGACAUUAGGAAGAAAUUAUUUAUAUUAUAGAGAUUCAAAAAGAUUUGAACUUUUGUCUUUUUUUUUUUAAUUUUAUUUUAAGGGGAAUAAAAACUUUGCACUUACCAAAAAAAAAAAAAUUGCACUGUGCUGUGUCCAAUAUAAAUGCAAUCAUGUUGUUUGUUGAGAUGUAAGACCCUUCGGGAAUUAUUUAAGUUCGUGAGACUCGAGUCAAAUUUUUUUAACAAGAAAACUCUGCAUUGUGCUAUGUCCAUAUUUGUAGAAGUGACAUUUGGAAGGAUACUCCGCUAGCCAUGGUCUGUUUGCUAGUUUAACCUUCCAAUGACAUUCCACCACUUUAAUACUUCAGCUUACACUUGUUUGCAAGCACAGCUGAAGUAUUUUUUUAAAUACAUUGAUUUUUUUUUUUUUUUGGUAAUAUGAAAGCCUUGGGCAAGAAUUCAAACAGUCACCGAAGUGUAGGAUUCGUAAUUUAGUUUUGCUCAUCAAAUAAAAGGAUGUGAUCAAAUAUGAACUCGAAAAGGAGAGUGGAGGGCCAAAUCUCUAGAAUCAACCUUAGAAAGGGACAAUUUUCGUUCCCAAGAUAUGAGAAGAGACAACUUACAUCAAAGCGGAUGUGCUUGGUUGGUCUUGGAGACCAACUUAUGCAUCAUAGCACGUGAAACGUUGUUGCUACUAUUCUUUUUUUUCUUCCUCAAAGCUAGUGUAGUGUGAACAAUGUUUAGGAAAUGCCAGAUGAAAGAUGGAGGCCUUUUCCGAUGUGUAGAGAAUAAUCCUUCAGAACCUUUUAUGAAAUUGCAGUUGAAUAUUAUCUCCUCAGAAGGCAUUCAGAGGGGGGAAAAAUAGUGUGCACCAUACACUAUAGAGUGUGAAUCCCAACACUUGCCCAUUCGCUCCUUGAGAUUUUAAAGUGCCGCUUACUCCCUUAGUAGUACCGAAACGCGACACGACACAUCAAUAUGUCAUUUAUAAAAAAUAAGGAGUUUCGACAUGUUGGGAUACGUUAUAUAUUAAAUAAAUAUUUUUAUUUUUAAUUAAUUUGAUUCAAAUUCAUAAAUAAUUAAUUAAAAGAAGAGCAUACAAUGAAAAUACACUAAUAAUAUUAAUGAAUCAAUUCAUUGGAAAUUAGAAAGAUAUAUUCAUAAUUAAUAUGUAUCCAUAUUUGGAAAUAUAUUUUUAAUUUUAACCAAAAUUAUUGAUGAAAUCGAUAAUUAAUAAGAAAUUAGAAUCAACUUGUUUAAAUAAAUUCAUAAUCUUCAAAUUCAUAAUCUUCUACAAUGAUAAAAAUUUAUUAUCAUUUAAAAUUCAGUACUUUUAUUUUUUAGAAUUAUUUUUUAAUCUUAUUUAUUUAUUCGAUUAAAAAAAAUCUCCUUGAGGGGUCCAUCGCCAACCCCCACUCCUUUCUUUCUUUCGUAUAUUUCCCCCCGGCCCCAAAUUUAUUUCAAUUUUUUUUCCCACUCUUCCCCACGUCAGACCAUUUCCCCCCCCCCACCCCCAAAUUUAUUUAACUCUUUUUCCCAUCCCCCACCCACGUGACAGGCUGUCACUUCACCCCCCAUCCANNNNNNNNNNNNNNNNNNNNNNNNNNNNNNNNNNNNNNNNNNNNNNNNNNNNNNNNNNNNNNNNNNNNNNNNNNNNNNNNNNNNNNNNNNNNNNNNNNNNUGACAGGCUGUCACUUCACCCCCCAUCAGCCUCUCUUUUUUAUCCUUUUUGAGUUACCAAAACCCAAGCAAGCGCGUCCUUCUCCUCCUCCUCUCGCCGCUCGCCGCACCCGCACGACCCCCUUCCUCUCCUUUUCCUCUCGAUACUUCUCCUCCUCCUCGCCGCACGACCCCCUUCCUCUCCUCUUCCUCUCUAUCCUUCUCCUCCUCCGCCUCGUCGCCGAUCCGUCGCAGCGUCAGUGACCGCCCUCGCCUCAGUCUCUACUCUUUGUCUGGCGGUUUCUCGCCGUCGCGGGCUCGCCGUUGCUCGUUACUCCAUCCUGAUCUUUAAGUGCCGCCUCUCAUCUCUGCUAUUCCACCAUUCCCCUGUAUUUCUAUCUGAAAACCUUCUCUUUGCUAACUCACAAAAAGCUUGAGCACUUGCUGUUGCCUGUAUUGUGACAGUUGCUGCCAUAGCUCUCUCUGCCAUCCUGUUCAAAGGAUUCCUGAAGAAAAGAGCUGGUCAGACCGCUGUGGAGGGCAGUGCAGAUAAUAAUUCAGCUACACAGAAUGGUACCGUAGAGAGGGCUGCUCGUACUUGCACUACACCACAAGUUGAGGAAAUGGCAACAUCUUCCGGAUAUGACUAUGAAGUAUUCUUGAGUUUCAGAGGGCUUGACACACGAUCAGCUUUUACCGACUUCCUUUAUACUUAUCUUAUAGAUGCAGGAAUCCGCACAUUUAGGGACGAUGACGCGCUCCGUGUCGGCGAAGAGUUUGCCCCAGAACUUCUUGAAGCAAUCAAUCAGUCGAAGAUCUUAAUACCUAUCUUUUCAAAAGGUUAUGCCUCUAGCGUAUGGUGUCUCAGAGAGCUAGUUCAAAUGGUCAAGUGCCAGAAAAAUGAAGGACAAAAGAUCAUGCCCAUUUUUUAUGAUGUGACACCUUCGGAGGUUCGACACCAAACCGGGAGUUUUGAAAAUGCUUUUGUUUCACACAAAAGAAAGAAGCGAUAUGAUGAAAAGACUAUAGCAGAGUGGAAGGAUGCUCUCACUACAGUCGCGGAUAUAAAUGGAUGGGACCUGCAAAGCAUGCCCAACAGGUGACUACUUUUAGCAUUCCAUCUCAUGUGCCUUGUAUCGUUAAACUCGAUGCAUUUAAAUUGGUUUCUUUUCUAAAUUUGUGUUAGUCUUGUUGAAAUUGAAUUGUAUGCAAUUGAAAUUAUGCAGCAAAAUCAGGCUAAAUAAUAUCACAAUGUCAAUUUUUGUCCCAUUUCAUUCCCAGCAAGCAACAUUUUUCGUUAGUUCAGAUCAUUCAUUUACCCUAAGUUCCAGUGCUAGUUUAUCAAAAUGGUAUAAAUCGUUGAGGAACGCAUUUAUAAUAGGUCUGUAGUUUUCAAUUUGGUUUUGUCAGAGCAUAGUUUGGCUUAACUCAAUUUUCUAACUCAUUCCCUUUUGACUUUCAACAAACAAUAGGCGAGAAGGUCAGUUUGCAAAAGAAAUCACGCAGAAGGUUUUCAAUGAGUUGAAAAGGGCUUAUUUGGUAGUAUCAAAUUACUUGGUCAAUGUCGACAACCAUGUGGAUGCAAUCAUGGAAUUGAUAGGUCCUCAUACAAGUGGAACACGGAUUAUAGGAAUCUAUGGGAUGGGCGGCAUCGGGAAGACGACAAUUGCCAAAAUCAUCUAUAAUCAGCUUAUAGAAAAAUUUGAGUGCUAUUGCUUUCUGUCUGACAUCCGUGAAACGUCAGAACAACGCGGGGGCAUUGAAUCCUUGCAAAAUCAGCUCAUCUCCAGCAUUCUCAAAAAGAAAUGCACAGAUAUAAGAAACAUUGAUGAUGGGAUUAAUACCAUCAAAGACAGAUUGUCUAAUAAAAGAGUCCUCCUCCUUCUCGAUGAUGUGCAUAAAAAGAAGCAUAUGGAUGCACUUGCAGGUGAGUGUGAUUGGUUUGGUAAAGGGAGCCUACUUAUUAUUACUACUAGAAAAAAAGAAGUUCUUGAUGUUCUUAAAGUGGACGGCUGUUAUGAGCUUUCGGGCAUGGAUCACGAUCAAUCUCUUCAACUCUUUAGCAAACAUGCCUUUAGAAGAGAUCAUCCUUUGGACGAGUAUAUCGACCAAUCCGAGAGGGCGAUAAAAAUUGCUGGAGGUCUUCCACUAGCUCUUGAGGUCAUGGGUUCACGUUUAUCUUGCACUACUGAAAAGAAAAAGUGGGAUUUCGAAUUACGUAAGUGGGAAAGUGAUCCUCAUAAGGAUGUCCAGAGUAGAUUGAAAAUAAGUUAUGAUGAAUUAGAAGAAAAGGAAAAGCAAAAGUUCCUUGAUAUAGCUUGUCUCUUAAUUGGAUAUGAUAAAGACAUUGUAGUUCAUUUUUGGGAAUCUGAAUUCCAUCCGGAAUAUGCCAUGGAUGUUUUGGAGAACAUGUCUUUGGUAAAGAUUAAAGAGGAUAAUAAAGUGUGGAUGCACGACCAACUUAGAGACCUUGGAAGACAAAUAGUUUGUCAAGAAACCAAUAUAAAUAAACAAAGUAGGGUGUGGGAUCGUGAGAAAGCGUUGGAUUUGCUGAAGAGCCCUAAGGUAAAAUCCCCUGUGCAUUAAUUUCCAAGUUACUUAUGGACAUUUUUGCUUUUUUAAGAUUAAUGGACGGUAGUACUCAACUCAGUCCCUUAAAAUAGUGAAUUUGGCUAAAUGUGUUUCCCUUCAACUCUCUUGUUUUUAAAAAUUUUCCUUUGGGCAGAUGAAGAAAAAAGUUGAAGCUCUUCGCCUCCGCUUGGACCAUCAGCACCGUUUUACCUACAAGGACUUUAAGAGCCUAUCAAGGCUAAGGUUCCUUAAAGUUGAUGACUUGGAGCAAACUUUUUGUGUAGAAAAGAUGCUUCUUCAGCACAAAGGGCCAUCAAGUGUUCUUCCAAUUGAUGUUUUGGAUUCAAAUCUCCUUCCAGAAUUACGCUGGCUUUCUUGGCAUAAUAUUCACCCAACAUUUGAGAUUGCAAAUUUCUCCGUAGAGAAUUUGACUAUCCUAGAUCUAUCUCGGAGUGAAAUUACUCAUGAUUGGAAGGGGUGGAGCCACAUGAAGGUAUGUCAUAUGCUAGACGAUACUUGUUCUUCCAUCUCAUUAAAUUUGAAAGUAAUCUGUGCAUGAUUUUUCUUUCACAGGGGAUUAAGAAUUUGAAAGUUCUGAAUCUGGCCCAUUGCCAAUGCUUGGAGAGAACCCCCAACUUCUCAGCUCAUUCAAAUUUGGAAUAUUUGAUCCUAUCAUGGUGUAAAUCAUUAAUCGAAAUUGAUAGAUCGAUUUCCCAGUUGAAACACUUGGUUUUCUUAGAUGUAAGCAAUUGUGGGAGUCUUCAGAGGCUGCCGGAUGAGUUGGGUAGAGAUCUGGUUUUCUUAGAUGUAAGCUAUUGUGAGAGUCUUCAGAGGCUGCCGGAUGAGUUGGGUAGAGAUCUUGCAAGCCUCAAAUACCUAUCUCUAAGGGGAUGCUCGAGUUUGAAGAGGCUUCCGGAGACAAUUGGGAAUUUGGAAUCGCUGAUUGAGUUGAACAUAGGUGGCCUUACAACGAAAAUCAAAGAACUACCCGAUUCCAUCAAAAAGUUGAAGAAUUUGAAAAUAGUGAAUAUGCAGUAUGGUGACAUAGGCAAAAUACACAAUACCUUUUGGACGAUGGAGAAGCUUGAAAAAAUAAAUAUCAUCCACGAGGCUUAUCAUUACGGGGGUUUACACGUGGAAAUUGGUGAUGGCAUCUAUGAGAAUAAAUCCUUGAGGAUCUUGAGAUUGGAAGGGGUGAGAAUACACGCCCUACCAAGGCUUCCCGAAAGUCUCAUCGAAUUACAAGUGGAGGAGUUGAGGGUGGUUCCAGAUCUCUCAAAUCUCGCUAACUUAAAGGUAUUGAAACUGGGCUUUGGCCCACCUGAUCCUGAUGGGAAAUUUUAUGGGUUUCUGGAAGAACUGACACCACGGGGGAUUGGGAACUUAACCAAAUUGAAGCCUCUGACACUCUGGUAUUCCAGGGGGAGCGCCUCAUCGACAGACCUGAGCCUCCCUCCUCAUCCGCGUCGCCUCACGGGGCUUCCCUCAAAUUUAUCCUCCUUAGAACUCCGUGAUUGCGACUCACUUUGCUCGAUGGAUCUAUCGAAUUUGAGGAAACUAUCGUCUCUCUUGAUUUGGGACUGUG
rnacentral:lncRNA from 1 species